rnacentral:rRNA from 1 species
GCACCUACCGAUUGAAUGAUUCGGUGAAGAUUCGGGACUGUGCCUGCUCCGUUCACGCGGGACUGGCGUGGGAACUUAUCUGAACCUCAUCAUUUAGAGGAAGGUGAAGUCGUAA